rfam:Globicatella sp. HMSC072A10 Globicatella_spHMPREF2811-1.0_Cont526.1, whole genome shotgun sequence.
GCACCCAUAGCUCAAUUGGAUAGAGUACUUGACUACGAAUCAAGCGGUUGUAGGUUCGACUCCUACUGGGUGUA